rnacentral:misc_RNA from 1 species
GAUGAAGAACGCAGCGAAAUGCGAUAAGUAAUGUGAAUUGCAGAAUUCAGUGAAUCAUCGAAUCUUUGAACGCACAUUGCGCCCCCUGGUAUUCCGGGGGGCAUGCCUGUUCGAGCGUCAUUUCACCACUCAAGCCUCGCUUGGUAUUGGGCAACGCGGUCCGCCGCGUGCCUCAAAUCGACCGGCUGGUUCUUCUGUCCCCUAAGCGUUGUGGAAACUAUUCGCUAAAGGGUGUUCGGGAGGCUACGCCGUAAAACAACCCCAUUUCUAAGGUUGACCUCGGAUCAGGUAGGGAUACCCGCUGAACUUAAGCAUAUCAAUAAGCGGAGGA